rnacentral:rRNA from 1 species
UACGUAGGGGGCUAGCGUUGUCCGGAAUCAUUGGGCGUAAAGAGCGUGUAGGCGGCCCGGUAAGUCCGCUGUGAAAGUCGGGGGCUCAACCCUCGAAUGCCGGUGGAUACUGUCGGGCUAGAGUGCGGAAGAGGCGAGUGGAAUUCCUGGUGUAGCGGUGAAAUGCGCAGAUAUCAGGAGGAACACCAAUUGCGAAGGCAGCUCGCUGGGACGUAACUGACGCUGAGACGCGAAAGCAUGGGGAGCGAACAGG